GCUCAGGAUGAACGCUAGCUACAGGCUUAACACAUGCAAGUCGAGGGGAAACGACAUCGAAAGCUUGCUUUUGAUGGGCGUCGACCGGCGCACGGGUGAGUAACGCGUAUCCAACCUGCCCAUCACUUGGGGAUAACCUUGCGAAAGUAAGACUAAUACCCAAUGACGUCUCUAGAAGACAUCUGAAGGAGAUUAAAGAUUUAUCGGUGAUGGAUGGGGAUGCGUCUGAUUAGCUUGUUGGCGGGGUAACGGCCCACCAAGGCGACGAUCAGUAGGGGUUCUGAGAGGAAGGUCCCCCACAUUGGAACUGAGACACGGUCCAAACUCCUACGGGAGGCAGCAGUGAGGAAUAUUGGUCAAUGGGCGAGAGCCUGAACCAGCCAAGUAGCGUGCAGGAUGACGGCCCUAUGGGUUGUAAACUGCUUUUAUAAGGGAAUAAAGUGAGUCUCGUGAGACUUUUUGCAUGUACCUUAUGAAUAAGGACCGGCUAAUUCCGUGCCAGCAGCCGCGGUAAUACGGAAGGUCCGGGCGUUAUCCGGAUUUAUUGGGUUUAAAGGGAGCGUAGGCCGGAGAUUAAGCGUGUUGUGAAAUGUAGACGCUCAACGUCUGCACUGCAGCGCGAACUGGUUUCCUUGAGUACGCACAAAGUGGGCGGAAUUCGUGGUGUAGCGGUGAAAUGCUUAGAUAUCACGAAGAACUCCGAUUGCGAAGGCAGCUCACUGGAGCGCAACUGACGCUGAAGCUCGAAAGUGCGGGUAUCGAACAGGAUUAGAUACCCUGGUAGUCCGCACGGUAAACGAUGGAUGCCCGCUGUUGGUCUGAAUAGGUCAGCGGCCAAGCGAAAGCAUUAAGCAUCCCACCUGGGGAGUACGCCGGCAA
rnacentral:rRNA from 1 species